rnacentral:rRNA from 1 species
UACAGAGGGUGCGAGCGUUGUCCGGAAUCACUGGGCGUAAAGGGCGCGUAGGUGGUGGCUUAAGCGUGCGGUGAAAGCUCGGGGCUCAACUCCGAGUCGGCCGUGCGAACUGGGCUCACUGGAGCAUAGUAGAGGCAGGUGGAAUUCCGGGUGUAGCGGUGGAAUGCGUAGAGAUCCGGAAGAACACCGGUGGCGAAGGCGGCCUGCUGGGCUAUGGCUGACACUGAGACACGAAAGCCAGGGGAGCGAACGGG